UACGGAGGAUGCAAGCGUUAUCCGGAUUUAUUGGGUUUAAAGGGUGCGUAGGCGGAUUUAUAAGUCAGCGGUGAAAGACUGUCGCUUAACGAUAGCAUUGCCAUUGAUACUGUAGGUCUUGAGUACAGAUGAGGUAGGCGGAAUGUGUAGUGUAGCGGUGAAAUGCUUAGAUAUUACACAGAACACCGAUUGCGAAGGCAGCUUACUAAAGUGUAACUGACGCUGAUGCACGAAAGCGUGGGGAU
rnacentral:rRNA from 1 species